rnacentral:rRNA from 1 species
GGUUGCGAUCAUACCAGCACUAAUGCAUCGGAUCCCAUCAGAACUCCGCAGUUAAGCAUGCUUAGGCGAGAGUAGUACUAGGAUGGGUGACCCCCUGGGAAGUCCUCGUGUUGCAACCCUG